CCUACGGGAGGCAGCAGUGAGGAAUAUUGGUCAAUGGACGAGAGUCUGAACCAGCAAAGUAGCGUGAAGGAUGACUGCCCUAUGGGUUGUAAACUUCUUUUAUAUGGGAAUAAAACAGGGUAUGCAUACCCUCUUGUAUGUACCAUAUGAAUAAGGCUCGACUAACUCCGUGCCAGCAGCCGCGGUAAUACGGAGGAUCCGAGCGUUAUCCGGAUUUAGUGGGUUUAAAGGGAGAGUAGGUGGAUUGUUAAGUCAGUUGUGAAAUUUUGCGGCUCAACCGUAAGAUUGCAGUUGAAACUGGCAGUCUUGAGUACAGGAGAGGUGGGCGGAAGUCGGGGUGUAGCGGUGAAAUGCUUAGAUAUCACGAAGAACUCCGAUUGCGAAGGCAGCUCACUGGACUUCAACUGACACUGAUGCUCGAAAGUGUGGGUAUCAAACAGGAUUAGAUACCCUUGUAGUC
rnacentral:rRNA from 1 species